GUCUGGAGUGUGGUGUGUGGUGUUCGUUGGGUAGUGGACGCCUUCACGAUGGCGCAUUUAAUGUGUCAUUAUUUAAGUGUUUUCGUGAUAAACAGCGCUCAUAGCGACUAAUUCAUGAGAUAAGUAUAAAUUACAUGUGAAGAAAGUGGAGUUCAGUGCUUAAACCUCAUGUGAACGGAAAUAUUAUUAAUUAUAUUUCUGAUAUUUUCAGACCAUAAUCGAUUUGGUUGGAUGUCUUGUGUUUGCACAUACAUAAGGGGAUUCUGUGUCACUAUGUGUAUGAACCCUACUCAUUCUAAUACGUUGAUAGUGUUUAUCGAGUGUUAUGUUACGGAGGAUUUUCUGUGCCGGGCACCCGCCUUUCCCUACCAGGGAAAGCUUUCCAGAACCAUGACCGAGAGUGCUGAUGGUUUUACUCACUUUUAAUCAAUAAAACCACAACAACCAGUGUAUCCUGCCACUUUCCAGUAAACACCAUCCAGCCAACCGCCAGCACAGAGCAGCAUCACAUUGUUUGCCCUAGGAGCAAGCAGCAGAGUGGGGUAACUUUUCGCACUAAACCAUUUAAACGCUUCGGUCAUAAUGCUGCAAAUUUCACCACCGGGACCGAUAAAGAUGAUCGUGAUGGAAAACUUUUGCUCGGAAGGAGCUGUCUUUUUGGCCUUCGACACCGACGACCGCCGACCGAACCCCCCGCGCCACCAUAUCUUAGACUAGUAAGUAUUCCACUAGCACGCCCAGGUUUAUCAUCAUCAACUAUUCCUUGUCGCGGGGUCCGUAGUAUAGCUGACUAAACUUUCGCUUCAUAAACAGAGAGUCAUGAGCGUGAUCCUCAGUCGUCUAAUCCAUGCCGCUCCAUUACGCAACACAUUACUUUUUAGCAGUUUUGCAGUGAUAAAAUGGGAUUUGGAAUGCUUAAAAAACAGAACAAAUUGUUCAUUCGAAAUGCUACAUAACGGUUGUAUGUAAUUCCCCCAAACCUUAUUCUCCAUAAUAGAAAUUCCCCAGAAAAGAAUAAAUAUCAGUACUUCUAAGGAAAUCUUGGCGAAUUGUUAGUAUUAGAGCGAGGUACAGUAUGCGGCAGGAAAAAAUGCGAAAGUGUUUUUCAACUUCAAACCUCAUUUUCGUCCAUUUA